CAUCUACUGUAAGUGUGACUUGUUUAGACGAAGUCACACACCCACGGAGGGAAGUAACCUGCAGGCUGCCGUGUUCCUUUGGAUCUGGAAACUGGCAACAGCUUACCUGGGUUCUGUGGUUCAUGCUCUCUCACAGGCUGAAAUUAAGGUGUCGGACGGAACUAUAGUCACCUCAAGACCCAACUGGUGAAGGAUGUACCUCCAAGCUCACUGGCUUUCUUGUUGGCAUGAUUCAGUAAUUCGUAGGGUCUUAGAGGCUCUCUUCAGAUGCUCGCCACAUGUAUUUCUUAAACUUGUAUCUUCAUCAAAGUGAGCAAGCCAAGAAGAUGAAAAAAUAUACAAGCCAGGCUCCUUUGUAGUGAUGUGUGGCCACAUCAGUUAUGUCCAGCAUAUUGAAUAUGAAGUCAUCUGCUCCUCUUCCUGGACUAGACAGUAAACACCCUCCAAUGUCUAAGCCAUGCUCUUCCCAUCAGUUGGCUGAAUGAAGAAUUCUAGGACUCAGAGGUGAGUGAAACCACAAUCUGGAAGGAUUCUGGAGGCCUGGAUGAUUGUGUGGAGCAGCAUCUCCAUGAAGUUCAGUUCUUUCUGUGAUGUAAGCAAGAAAUAAAGUACUCAUAUAAAACCAGUGAGGUUUAGUAGUUUGUUAAAUCAGUUAGUCUACUCUGGCUAAUACAUAAUCUUGUUGAUGCCUUUUACCCAUUAUUUGAUUAGCAGGACCUCACUUAAGUUGCUCAUCUUUUCAAACAUCCUUCUUAUUUUUUGCAGGAUAAUUUUUAUAUCAAACAGCCGGUUAGUGGCUGCUUAUUUCUAAAUUAUUUCUUUGGCUCACUAUCUCUAUUAUAGCUCCCAUUAUGACCCAAUUCCCUUGAUAUUUUGAUGAGUUUGUUUUACUGCCUUACUUUUUUAUGUUUCCCCAUGAUGGAGUCCUACGUUAUCCUCUCUACACAAAUCUCAGCUUUCCUUCCAGAGCCUGGUAAAGUUCUGCAUUCUUUCCAAGCCUUUUCUGACUAGUC